rnacentral:rRNA from 1 species
UGGGGAAUUUUGGACAAUGGGCGAAAGCCUGAUCCAGCAAUGCCGCGUGUGUGAAGAAGGCCUUCGGGUUGUAAAGCACUUUUGUCCGGAAAGAAAUCCUUGGCUCUAAUACAGUCGGGGGAUGACGGUACCGGAAGAAUAAGCACCGGCUAACUACGUGCCAGCAGCCGCGGUAAUACGUAGGGUGCAAGCGUUAAUCGGAAUUACUGGGCGUAAAGCGUGCGCAGGCGGUUUGCUAAGACCGAUGUGAAAUCCCCGGGCUCAACCUGGGAACUGCAUUGGUGACUGGCAGGCUAGAGUAUGGCAGAGGGGGGUAGAAUUCCACGUGUAGCAGUGAAAUGCGUAGAGAUGUGGAGGAAUACCGAUGGCGAAGGCAGCCCCCUGGGCCAAGUACUGACGCUCAUGCACGAAAAGCGUGGGGGAGCAAAACAGGAUUAGAUGCCCUGGUAGUCCACGCCCUAAAACGAUGUCAACUAGUUGUUGGGGAUUCAUUUCCUUAGUAACGUAGCUAACGCGUGAAGUUGACCGCCUGGGGAGUACGGUCGCAAGAUUAAAACUCAAAUGAAUUGACGGGGUCAUAGCUGUUUCCU